ensembl:lncRNA
GCACCUGUUAUUUUCAAAGGGAUAAAAGUUGAAAAAUCAAUAGUCAUGUGCCUCACGUCAUGCAGUAGCCGACUCGGCGCCCAUCUAAGAGCCUAAAGAGGACUUAUCAGGCAGGUUAACUGACAAAGCUGGUUUUCCACCUAAAGCUGGUUAGAGAGUCAGAGCCUAUUGAAUCAUUCCAAUUUAGGGAUCUGACGAUUUAAAUCUCCUAUGUUCUGGGGACUUUCUUCCCCAGUUGGCCCAACUGUUAUUAAUCUGCAGGCAAUUUCUCUAAAAGCCCCCUAUUUGUUUUUUUUACGGCUUCAUUGAGAGGGGUUGGUUGCGGCAGAGAGGAAGACUCUAAAUGAGAUGCUGCGAAGGAAGGCGAGUUCUGUCCCUAUCAACAGCAGUGGUCACGGGCCCUCUCCUUAGCCGAGGAUUAAAAAAGAGGAAGAAGAAGAGUUUCAAAAGCAAGAUGAGCGUCAGCCCGAUUUCGGCUGAACUGAGAAAUGGCUGCUGGUCAAACAAAAUGAAAAAUCGUCACACUAAGAACGAUGUGAAGGAAAACAACCACCACCAACACCAGGAAGCGAAGGUGGCUUUAUCCAGUAUGCCUUGAUGAAUAGCCUGUGUAUUUCUCUCCAGCAUCUUCAUUUCCAUCAUCUUGUCCUCAUGGUUUGAUCUCCAGUUCAUUUGCCAGGCCACCUCGAUGCCCCCAGGAUCAUUCACUGUGAGGAAAGCUGCAAUUAUGACAUAAUUAAAGUGGAAUACCUACAGAAUACCUAGAAGAGGAAGCCGGGGAGGAGGACGACUUCUCAGAGGAGCCCAAGAGAGGAAAUACAGGAGACAGUAUAGAGGAGGAGACAGUUGCAACAUGUUCGCCAAUUACCCAUGGAGCAACACUGCUAUUAGUGUUGGUGAUUAGGCUGUCACUGGGGUCUCCAGGGCCAGCAGGUGUAGAUAGAACCUUCCUAAUCUAAGGUGGUGAUGCUAUGUUACCUGAUAUAUGCUGUGUGACGAUUAACAAAGUUAAUGUUAUGGCUGUAACACUGGGCGAAAGGGUCCAUUUCAG